UGGACUCCGUAGAGGCCAAACGUGGCAGUUUAAAGUUCAUUAAGUUGAAUAAGUAAAUAAAUUAUGGUCCGAU
rnacentral:tRNA from 1 species